rnacentral:hammerhead_ribozyme from 1 species
GUACUGCUGAAGAGUCCCAGACUAGGAUGUAAUACAGCUGUCCAGUAC